UAGUUAUAUGCUCGUUUUGAAGUUAUUAUUAUACAUUAUUAUAUUACUGAAAAAAUCCAUUGUUUGGAAUUCAAUGACUGCUGAAUGAAUGAAUAAAUGAAUGGAAUGACUGCUCUGGAGGGACGUUGUUUAGGGAGUAUUUGUAUUUAUUUCGUAUUUAAUAGAGACUGCUCACCUUUGCAUGAUACUUCGCUGUAAAAUCUUUACCCAUUUUACUCAAUACAAUUAAGAUUGUGUUUCUGAGCACGGUGGCACCUGUCUGUUCAAUACCAUCCUGUUUUAAGUGUGGGGAUAAUUGUACCAUUAAGGACAUCAACCGAUUGGAUAAGGAUUUCGAGAAAGUGUUACCUUCUGACUUCCACCCAAGUAUCCGCAAGCACUUGGAGGCCACAUGGCAAUACGAAAUUGACUUCGAUGCCACCAGACUACCUAAGAGCAUCUGGAUUGUAAAAUGCGAGGCUUGCCGGACCCAGGCUUGCCAGACCAAGGCUUGCCAGACCGAGGUUUGCCAGACCCAUUGUCACGACAGACUUACAAUGAAGGAGAUUAAGUACAACAUAAGAGUGUAUGACAGACAGGCCUGCCAGAACCCAGAACACUUCCAACUGGUUCCAAGGACAUUCAAUGUCACUGUGGGCUGUACAUGUGUACAUUCUACAAUGUUCUCUUCCCGAAUGAGAGCGUGAGCAUUCUGUGCUCAGCAGCUCUGUCUGGGGCAGACACGUGUCACAUACAUAUUACGCGUGCUACAAUAAAUAUUAUAUAUUUAAUGUAAAAGAAUGAUAUUUUAAUAUAUCUUUCAUAUACAUUUCUAAAAUGGGAUAGGCAUAACGCAAUAAACUGUCCAGUACAUACACUGUGUGUAUUCCAAACGAUUACUCUGCUCAAUUUUACUUGAGAUCGGCUUGUAAACUUUAAAAUGUAAUCUAAUGGCAGAGAA